rnacentral:rRNA from 1 species
AUUGAACGCUAGCGGGAUGCUUUACACAUGCAAGUCGAACGGCAGCGCGGACUUCGGUCUGGCGGCGAGUGGCGAACGGGUGAGUAAUGUAUCGGAACGUGCCCAGUAGCGGGGGAUAAAUACGCGAAAGCGUAGCUAAUACCGCAUACGCCCUACGGGGGAAAGCAGGGGAUCGUAAGACCUUGCACUAUUGGAGCGGCCGAUAUCGGAUUAGCUAGUUGGUGAGGUAACGGCUCACCAAGGCGACGAUCCGUAGCUGGUUUGAGAGGACGACCAGCCACACUGGGACUGAGACACGGCCCAGACUCCUACGGGAGGCAGCAGUGGGGAAUUUUGGACAAUGGGGGCAACCCUGAUCCAGCCAUCCCGCGUGUGCGAUGAAGGCCUUCGGGUUGUAAAGCACUUUUGGCAGGAAAGAAACGUCGCGGGCUAAUACCCCGUGGAACUGACGGUACCUGCAGAAUAAGCACCGGCUAACUACGUG